UACAGAGGGUGCGAGCGUUGUCCGGAAUCACUGGGCGUAAAGGGCGCGUAGGUGGCGCGACAAGUCAGUGGUGAAAGUUCGACGCUCAACGUCGAAUCGGCCACUGAUACUGUUGGGCUUGAGCACUGUAGAGGCUAAUGGAAUUCCGGGUGUAGCGGUGGAAUGCGUAGAGAUCCGGAAGAACACCGGUGGCGAAGGCGGCCUGCUGGGCAGUAGCUGACACUGAGGCGCGACAGCGUGGGGAGCAAACAGG
rnacentral:rRNA from 1 species